rnacentral:rRNA from 1 species
UACGAAGGGGGCUAGCGUUGUUCGGAAUCACUGGGCGUAAAGGGCGCGUAGGCGGCCUGCUAAGUCGAACGUGAAAUCCCCCGGGCUCAACCCGGGAACUGCGUCCGAUACUGGUGGGCUUGAAUCCGGGAGAGGGAUGUGGAAUUCCAGGUGUAGCGGUGAAAUGCGUAGAUAUCUGGAGGAACACCGGUGGCGAAGGCGGCAUCCUGGACCGGUAUUGACGCUGAGGCGCGAAAGCUAGGGGAGCAAACGGGG